GGAUUAGAUACCCUGGUAGUCCACGCCGUAAACGAUGUCUACUAGUCGUUGGGUCCCUUGAGGACUUAGUGACGCAGCUAACGCAAUAAGUAGACCGCCUGGGGAGUACGGCCGCAAGGUUAAAACUCAAAUGAAUUGACGGGGGCCCGCACAAGCGGUGGAGCAUGUGGUUUAAUUCGAUGCGACGCGAAGAACCUUACCUGGUCUUGACAUAUCUAGAAUCCUGCAGAGAUGCGGGAGUGCCUUCGGGAAUUAGAAUACAGGUGCUGCAUGGCUGUCGUCAGCUCGUGUCGUGAGAUGUUGGGUUAAGUCCCGCAACGAGCGCAACCCUUGAUCUUAGUUGCCAGCAUUCAGUUGGGCACUCUAAGGUGACUGCCGGUGAC
rnacentral:rRNA from 1 species